AUUGAACGCUAGCGGGAUGCUUUACACAUGCAAGUCGAACGGCAGCGCGGACUUCGGUCUGGCGGCGAGUGGCGAGCGGGUGAGUAAUGUAUCGGAACGUGCCCAGUAGCGGGGGAUAACUACGCGAAAGCGUAGCUAAUACCGCAUACGCCCUACGGGGGAAAGCAGGGGAUCGUAAGACCUUGCACUAUUGGAGCGGCCGAUAUCGGAUUAGCUAGUUGGUGAGGUAACGGCUCACCAAGGCGACGAUCCGUAGCUGGUUUGAGAGGACGACCAGCCACACUGGGACUGAGACACGGCCCAGACUCCUACGGGAGGCAGCAGUGGGGAAUUUUGGACAAUGGGGGCAACCCUGAUCCAGCCAUCCCGCGUGUGCGAUGAAGGCCUUCGGGUUGUAAAGCACUUUUGGCAGGAAAGAAACGUCGCGGGCUAAUACCCCGUGGAACUGACGGUACCUGCAGAAUAAGCACCGGCUAACUACGUG
rnacentral:rRNA from 1 species